GACGAACGCUGGCGGCGUGCUUAACACAUGCAAGUCGAACGGUAAGGCCCUUCGGGGAACACGAGUGGCGAACGGGUGAGUAACACGUGGGUGAUCUGCCCUGCACUUCGGGAUAAGCCUGGGAAACUGGGUCUAAUACCGGAUAGGACCACUGCCUGCAUGGGUGGUGGUGGAAAGCUUUUGCGGUGUGGGAUGGGCCCGCGGCGUAUCAGCUUGUUGGUGGGGUGAUGGCCUACCAAGGCGACGACGGGUAGCCGGCCUGAGAGGGUGACCGGCCACACUGGGACUGAGAUACGGCCCAGACUCCUACGGGAGGCAGCAGUGGGUAAUAUUGCACAAUGGGCGCAAGCCUGAUGCAGCGACGCCGCGUGAGGGAUGACGGCCUUCGGGUUGUAAACCUCUUUCAGCACCGACGAAGCGCAAGUGACGGUAGGUGCAGAAGAAGGACCGGCCAACUACGUGCCAGCCGCCGCAGUAA
rnacentral:rRNA from 1 species